GUCUGCAGGGCCCAGCGGCCCACUUGCAAGCACCUGGCAGGGAAGGGCAGUGCUACGGGAUUGUCUGUAGGGCGCCUCUGACUUCUGUUAAGUAACAGAAACAACCCCGCACUGGUGAUCUUCUUCAGGGCCCGUGGGAGGCCCCAGAGCUGGAGCAAAAGCAGAGUCCCAUUUCUGAAAGAGUCCAAAAGUUCUGCUCCCAGGAGAAGAAAUGAAGGGCAGUGACCGCGACACGCCCAGGAAGUCCUUGCACACUGUGGCUUGAAUGGAUUCAUAACGUUAGAAAAGCUAUGGGAUGCGGCACGACCAUAUAACACCUGAAAACCAACAGAAUGCCCCACGAUGCCAACUCCCUGGCAGUGAUUUGGCAAGUCUGCUGGGUCGUGAACAUGCAGAAACUGACCUGAUCUAACAGGCAAGUGAUGGGAUACCAGGAGCCCCAUACAGCAGGGGGAGUAGCAUGGAGAGAGGGAGGGAAGCCGGGGAGGAGCCAUGAUCCCAUGAAUGCAGGUGGAAGGCACAGUCCUGUUCACUGAGACCACCAGGUCUCCCUCUUCUGUUCUUACCUGUGUGCUUCCCACCGCCGUCGCCACUGGGAGGUCCGAUGGUGUUGAAUGUAACCGCCCUUUUGGAUCCAGGGUCAUGUUCACGCCUACACGGUUAGUUCCCAAUUCUUGAGAUUUGGGCAGAUGAAUUCUUAAUGUGCAAACACCUACUACAUAUCCUGGCCUGUUUUUAAAACCCUAGGAUAAUGCUUUUUUCAUUUGUUUUACGUUGGAAUUACCAUUUUUGAAGAUCCCCAAAAGGGCAGUAAAUAAAGACUUUAGAUAAGCACUUUGGACCACAUCAUUGGUUUUCAAAUUAAGCUUCAGGCAAGAGGAGGGCUGGGGGGGCUGUCUGCGUCACCUACAAGCCACCUCCUUCAAACUGUGCCUCGAAGGACCGUCACUGCGGCUCACAGAAAAUAACAAAAACAAGCUUGAAAACUGCCAGACAGAAAAUUCCUUCCAGCUUUAGACUUCUGUGAUUCUCUGGUUACUUCUCAAUAUAGAAUUAUAGAAGAACCAGUAGAAAAGUGUUUUUAAUCCAUGAAGCCCUUUAAAGUAGAGCUAAGAGUCCGUGACGUGGGACGACACAGUUAACAGCAUCAGAUGUUGAUUGCAAAUCUACCCCGUGCCAGAGCACUUGGUGGCGGGGGCUGAUCGUAGUGAGCAAGGGUCCCUUGUUGGUGCCGGGAACACCCACACGCCGCCGAGAGGCAGGGCUGGGUCUGCGGGUGAAAGUCUGUGAAGUCUCGGGGGGCGGAGGCUCCUGAAGGCCCAGCCGUAGCCAGGCUGAGUUCUUAAUUAUUUUAUCUUUGAAUUUCUACUCCUGAGUGAGGUCUGAUGGAACACUGAAGCACAAACCAUGGACGAGAGCUUGGUAAACAGCAGACAUGCACUCCUCGCAGCUCUGGAGGCUGGAGGUCCCAGAUGAAGUUGCUGGCAGAUCGCAGAUCAGGUCUGGUCAUAGGAAUGACAUCUACCACCACUGUCUCUAUGAUACGACCAAACCAGGUGGCGAGGCCCAUCACCGUUAAACAGUGACAGAAGUGGAGAAAACAAAGACAAAAGCCCCAGGAAGAGAGCUAUGGAACCAGAAAGGCCUCUUCUGCCUUUUACUGGGUGUGAUCAUGGCCAAGUUGCUAAACAUCUCUUAUCCCGAGGUGACCCACUUGUACACAAUAAGGAUACUGAGGCCUAAUCGUGUGGUUUUGGCGAUUCCAUGAGAAAGACAAUCACAGCACCUGCUAUGUUCCAAACAUUUUAGGUAAAAGCUGUACUGCCAUAUCUCUUUCCACAUAUUUGAGCCAUCUGAAGUCACGCCUGCCACAUGGCAGGUAAUCAGUAAACCUUGGUCCCCAUCUUCUCCCUACAUGGGAGAUUUAUGCAUGCUUAUGCGUCGGUGAUCUCAUUUAUGUGCCCUGAUACAAAAUCCAUUACUUCCCUUUUGUGAUUAUGGCAGACAUCUUCUCGAAGCUGUGCUCUACCUAGAAAAAAUAAUUCAUCCUUUGUGAUUUCAAAGGAAUAAACAUUACAAUGAAUCAUACUAAUGAAUAUUUAAAAGUUACUGUUACGCAGUGUGGCUUUACUUCGGACGCAGCCUCGCUCAGGCGGGGUCAUAAAGAGGGGAAGGACCAUUUCAUUUUCCCCGUGAGGACCUCACUGAAGCCCCAGGUCUCCGAUGAGCUCAGGGGUGUCAAAAGCGGGGUGCACAUGCCCCAAAGGCUGCAGGAAGUGAUGAAUUGCAGAACAAGGACAGCUGUUAGAACUUCCACUUGCAUGCAUGUUCAUCUGAGUCACAGUUUCACUUGAUGUUUCCGUGUAUCUUUUUUAAAGCUCAGAAUAUAUUAGAAGACUUCCAGAUCUAUAACUUACAAACUAAAAAAUCAGUGUCUCUGGGUAUUUAUGAUUCAAAACUUUUUACCAAUGGGUGUGUCUCCCCAAAAUGUUUAGAAACCUCUGUAAAGUGUUGAUAAA